CGCGCCACUCGAAAUAACCCAAUUAAUAGGGGGUAUGUGAUAAAAACCCGACAUGCAACAUGUGAGCGAAGCGUGAUCGACACACACGAAUGGACACGAAGAAGCACGUUCUUCUUUGAGAGCAGUGGGGUGGCCGCGGGGUCCCCACAAAGUGUCUGCCACCUUUUGCACACCGGCUGUAGCGGAUUUGUUUAGCAUUUUUAGCAUGUCUUUUCUCUGUACGGUGAUGUGUCAAAUCCAACACUCGCUAUAUAUAACGACUUUUUUUUAUAAAUAUAUUUUUACUUCUCUUGCUCAUCCAAUCGGUGUGCAAGCUCUGCAAAGGGAGGUGCAAGUGUCUGUGAGACUAUGUGCAUCCGGCGAAACCGUGUCCACUCUGUACAGCGCAGCAAAACAAGUGCCAAAAGAGUAAGAGCAAACGAUCAAAAGCGACAGUGAUCUGCCCUUUUCCUCUCUCAUCCAAUCCAAACGAUCGGAUUCAAACGAGCUGAUCGUUGCAGAACGCAGAACAGAAGGCGGGACACACACACACACGUCGGCGGCAGUUUUGUCAUCGACCUUUGAACAGAGCGCGAGAAAGUGUUAUGUCUUGAGAUGGUGUGAAAGAAAGGAAUUCACAACACAGCCAUUGCUCCUUCCCGGCUUAUCUUCCUUCCCCUUUAUUACUCACUGUCUGGUGCAGUGAGCUUGAUUUUAUGUGAAUCAUCUCCGGACUGAUAUAAAAAAAAACCUUUUUUUUCCUCUUAUAUCCAUUUCUGUGUUCCAAGAGAUCCCUAUCCCUUUAUCAUCGAGCCUCUAUCAUCUCGUCUCAUGCGGCGUUACUGAGCACAAAGGUUAUACAAAUGGUAACACACAUACCAAGCCAUUUAUUUCCCACAUGCGCGUACGAAUUGUUUCACGGCAGCAGCACAAAAAAAAGGAAUAACUACCCUUAAUCAGAGCCUACACCACUUUGUCUUAUCACAAAAUGGGAAAAUAAGAGCAGCGAGGAAAGAUAUCACCCUGCUAAAGCCCUGGGGCUGACUGGACAGGUCACACAGGCGCUCCAAUUGCAAUAUCUUAUCUUAUCGUGGCAAUAAAAUGUUAAAUAAAUGAAAGAUGUUAAGCAAUGGAACAGAGUAAAACCAGUGUACCUAUCACAUAGUA